GACGAACGCUGGCGGCGUGCUUAACACAUGCAAGUCGAACGGAAAGGCCCUGCUUUUGUGGGGUGCUCGAGUGGCGAACGGGUGAGUAACACGUGAGUAACCUGCCCUUGACUUUGGGAUAACUUCAGGAAACUGGGGCUAAUACCGGAUAGGAGCUCCUGCUGCAUGGUGGGGGUUGGAAAGUUUCGGCGGUUGGGGAUGGACUCGCGGCUUAUCAGCUUGUUGGUGGGGUAGUGGCUUACCAAGGCUUUGACGGGUAGCCGGCCUGAGAGGGUGACCGGCCACAUUGGGACUGAGAUACGGCCCAGACUCCUACGGGAGGCAGGAGUGGGGAAUAUUGGAAAAUGGGCGGAAGCCUGAUGCAGCAACGGCGCGUGCGGGAUGACGGCCUUCGGGUUGUAAACCGCUUUCGCCUGUGACGAAGCGUGAGUGACGGUAAUGGGUAAAGAAGCACCGGCUAACUACG
rnacentral:rRNA from 1 species